AGAGUUUGAUCCUGGCUCAGAACGAACGCUGGCGGCAGGCUUAACACAUGCAAGUCGAACGGGCGUAGCAAUACGUCAGUGGCAGACGGGUGAGUAACGCGUGGGAAUAUGCCCUUUAGUUCGGAAUAACUCAGGGAAACUUGAGCUAAUACCGGAUAAUCCCGAGAGGGGAAAGAUUUAUCGCUGAAGGAGUAGCCCGCGUCUGAUUAGCUAGUUGGUGAGGUAAUGGCUCACCAAGGCGACGAUCAGUAGCUGGUCUGAGAGGAUGAUCAGCCACACUGGGACUGAGACACGGCCCAGACUCCUACGGGAGGCAGCAGUGGGGAAUAUUGGACAAUGGGGGCAACCCUGAUCCAGCCAUGCCGCGUGAGUGAUGAAGGCCUUAGGGUUGUAAAACUCUUUUGUCCGGGAAGAUAAUGACUGUACCGGAAGAAUAAGCCCCGGCUAACUUCGUG
rnacentral:rRNA from 1 species